GACGAACGCUGGCGGCGUGCUUAACACAUGCAAGUCGAACGGAAAGGCCCUGCUUGCAGGGUACUCGAGUGGCGAACGGGUGAGUAACACGUGGGUGAUCUGCCCUGCACUUCGGGAUAAGCUUGGGAAACUGGGUCUAAUACCGGAUAGGAGCCAUCUUUAGUGUGGUGGUUGGAAAGUUUUUUCGGUGUAGGAUGAGCUCGCGGCCUAUCAGCUUGUUGGUGGGGUAAUGGCCUACCAAGGCGGCGACGGGUAGCCGGCCUGAGAGGGUGUACGGCCACAUUGGGACUGAGAUACGGCCCAGACUCCUACGGGAGGCAGCAGUGGGGAAUAUUGCACAAUGGGCGCAAGCCUGAUGCAGCGACGCCGCGUGGGGGAUGAAGGCCUUCGGGUUGUAAACUCCUUUCGCUAGGGACGAAGCUUUGUUGAGACGGUACCUAGAUAAGAAGCACCGGCUAACUACGUG
rnacentral:rRNA from 1 species